rfam:Felis catus isolate Cinnamon breed Abyssinian chromosome A3, whole genome shotgun sequence.
GCCUGGGUGGCUCAAUCAGUUAAGCGUCUGACUUGGGCUCAGGUCAUGAUCUUGCGAUUUGUGAGUUUGAGCCCCGCUUCGGGCU